rnacentral:tRNA from 1 species
GGGCCCAUACCCCGACAAUGUUGGUACAACCCCUUCCUCUACUA